UACGGGGGGGGCAAGCGUUGUUCGGAAUUACUGGGCGUAAAGGGCUCGUAGGUGGCCAACUAAGUCAGACGUGAAAUCCCUCGGCUUAACCGGGGAACUGCGUCUGAUACUGGAUGGCUUGAGUUUGGGAGAGGGAUGCGGAAUUCCAGGUGUAGCGGUGAAAUGCGCAGAUAUCAGGAGGAACACCAAUAGCGAAGGCAGCUCGCUGGGACGUUACUGACACUGAGGCGCGAAAGCGUGGGGAGCGAACAGG
rnacentral:rRNA from 1 species